rnacentral:rRNA from 1 species
UACGGAGGGUGCGAGCGUUAAUCGGAAUGACUGGGCGUAAAGGGCAUGUAGGCGGAUGAUUAAGUUAGGUGUGAAAGCCCUGGGCUCAACCUAGGAAUUGCACUUAAAACUGGUUAUCUGGAGUAUUGUAGAGGAAGGUAGAAUUCCACGUGUAGCGGUGAAAUGCGUAGAGAUGUGGAGGAAUACCGGUGGCGAAGGCGGCCUUCUGGACAGAUACUGACGCUGAGAUGCGAAAGCGUGGGGAGCAAACAGGAUUAGAUACCCGCGUAGUCC